UCAGGUUACUGCCUUGGCCUAGCUCAGUG
rnacentral:piRNA from 1 species